AUGGGAGCUUCCCUGCAGACGCUUUCUUCUCGUCUGUCGCCAUGUGAGAUGUACCUUUCACUUUCCUCCAUGAUUGUGAGGCCUCCUUAGCCACAUGGAACUGCCCUGGCAAUCACUAUUCCAGUCUCUGCUUCUAUGAGUUUGACUAUUUCAGAUUCCACAUGUAGCAAAUCUGGGGCUACGUUUCUAAGAAUUCCCUUCACUGAAGAGUUCCAAGUUACUGGAAGAAACUUGGAACAAAAGGAGUUCUGCAUGAAUUUUGAAAGGUCUACUGACUCAACAGGCAGUCAGAUAUGUAAGAUGGGUAUAAAGCGGUGAGAGUGAGGACAAACCCAUAAUCAAUGUCUGGAUCCCUGAUGAACUGAGACUCACAUUGAUCUUUCAAUAUGUCCAAGCCUCCAACUGGAAUGAUUUGGUUAUCCUGCAGGAAAUGCUGGAGUCCUUCAUCCGAAUGGUAAAUGGCACUUGUGACAAAAAUCAAAGUAACUAAAAAAGAAUCUGGUUGAAACCUCAGUAACAGUUGGCCUGUCUACUGCCUCACACUAACAAGGGGGAGCUAAUAAAACCGAGGUUAGAACACACAAUGUGGAAAUGAAAACCUUAUUCUUGUCAAUGGAUGGAGGGUGGCCUGUACAAGAAACAUGGUGCCAGCAUCUGCUUCUGGUGAGGACUGCAGGAAGCUUCCAAUCAUGGUCCAAAAAAUGCGGAGCCUGCGUGUCACGUGAUAAGAGAUGGAGCGUGAGAAAGAGGCAGGAGGAGAAAGUGACCCCCACCUUUACAAGUGUCUGUAAUUCUCACUAGCAGUAUAUUAGAGGGCAAAAGAUUUGAACAGACACAUCAGAAAAGAAGACAUACAAAUGGCCGCUAAGCACUUGAAAGGAUUCUGAACACCAUUAGUCAUCAGUGAAAUGCAAAUUAAAGCCAUAAUGAAUGGCGCUAUACAUUUUCAGAAUGGCAAGGAUUGAAGACCGAAAAAAAUCAAGCGUUGAGGAGAGUGACAAAUGGGGAGACAGCCGUGGUGCAUGAUCGCCGAAUAAAUACCAUGUGAGGAUACAGCAAGAAGGUGGCCAUCUACAAGCCAAGGAGACAGGCCUCAGAAGAAACCAACCCUUCUUACACCCUGGACUCAGACUUCUAAUCUCCAGAACUUGUUAAUGCACAAGGUCUUGUGUUGAAAAUGUAGAGCCACGAGAUAAAAGCAGCUUGGAUGGCUGACUCAUAUACAAGGACAACUGCCUGAGAGUCACCAGGGCUAUCAAGAAGUUUGCAGAAACAAGAAAUAAACUUUUACUGUUUUAAACUUUUGUGAAUUUUGGGUUUUGUUUAUCACCAAAUAAACCUAGUCUAUUCUGAUUGUUAUAAGUGGUUAAUUUGGGAAGUCAGAUAUAUUUAAAAUUGGCUUACUGCUGUAACAUAUACAGUCCAAAUUACAUAAUGGCUCAAAUGCAAUAGAAGUCUUUUUUUUUUUUGCUCACAUAUCACUUCACUGAGAUUCUGCAUUAAUUGUAAUGAUGAGGGUGAGGGUGUCU
rnacentral:lncRNA from 1 species